GUGCUCGAUUCAGCAGCACAGAUACUAAAAUUGGAACAAUACGGAGAAGAUUAGCAUGACCUCUGUACAAGGAUGACAUGCAAAUCCAUGAAGUGUUCCAUAUUUAA